rnacentral:rRNA from 1 species
AUUGAACGCUGGCGGCAUGCCUUACACAUGCAAGUCGAACGGCAGCACGGGGCAACCUGGUGGCGAGUGGCGAACGGGUGAGUAAUGCAUCGGAACGUACCUUUCAGUGGGGGAUAACGUAGCGAAAGUUACGCUAAUACCGCAUAUUCUGUGAGCAGGAAAGCAGGGGAUCGCAAGACCUUGCGCUGAUUGAGCGGCCGGUGUCAGAUUAGCUAGUUGGUGAGGUAAAGGCUCACCAAGGCGACGAUCUGUAGCGGGUCUGAGAGGAUGAUCCGCCACACUGGAACGGAGACACGGUCCAGACUCCUACGGGAGGCAGCAGUGGGGAAUUUUGGACAAUGGGGGCAACCCUGAUCCAGCCAUGCCGCGUGAGUGAAGAAGGCCUUCGGGUUGUAAAGCUCUUUCGGCCGGGAAGAAAUCGCACGGGCUAAUACCCUGUGUGGAUGACGGUACCGGAAUAAGAAGCACCGGCUAACUACGUGCCAGCAGCCGCCGUAAAAC